AUGUAUUUUGUUGAAAUUAUGUCAUACGCCAGUUGUUUUAGAGGAGGGAAUAGUAGAGGAGCCAUUCUUGUCAUUUCAUUUUUCACGGGACUUGUAAUAUAUCAUGGUUGUUCCAACAUUGUUGGGAAUUCAUUAUUAGGACUCAUUCAAACUAUUGACUUUGCUUUCUUUGUUAAAAAUGUGAGUUUGUUCUUUGACAUAUUCAUUUAUAAAACAGGUUAUGAAACUGCCUUUUUCCUAAAAUUGUAUUUAUCAUAUUGCAUACAAAAUAUAUAUAAUCUUUGCUAUUAUUUUAUCAGCAAUAACUAUUUAAUUUAUUUGCUCCUAAUAACAACUGUCACUCUUAAAUUUAAUUGA